ACCAGGUCUUGACAUCCCGUUGACCACUGUAGAGAUAUAGUUUCCCCUUCGGGGGCAACGGUGACAGGUGGUGCAUGGUGGUCGUCAGCUCGUGUCGUGAGAUGUUGGGUUAAGUCCCGCAACGAGCGCAACCCUUGAUUUUAGUUGCCAUCAUUUAGUUGGGCACUCUAAGGUGACUGCCGGUGACAAACCGGAGGAAGGUGGGGAUGACGUCAAAUCAUCAUGCCCCUUAUGACCUGGGCUACACACGUGCUACAAUGGACGAUACAAACGGUUGCCAACUCGCGAGAGGGAGCUAAUCCGAUAAAGUCGUUCUCAGUUCGGAUUGUAGGCUGCAACUCGCCUACAUGAAGCCGGAAUCGCUAGUAAUCGCGGAUCAG
rnacentral:rRNA from 1 species